ACUCAAAGGAAUUGACGGGGACCCGCACAAGCAGCGGAGCGUGUGGUUUAAUUCGAAGCAACGCGCAGAACCUUACCAGGGGUGGACAUGCUCGAGACCCUCCCAGAGAUGGGACUCCCUUCGGGGCCCGAGCACAGGUGCUGCAUGGCUGUCGUCAGCUCGUGCCGUGAGGUGUUGGGUUAAGUCCCGCAACGAGCGCAACCCCCAUCGUCGGUUGCAUCUCUCCGACGAGACUGCCACGAUGAACGUGGAGGAAGGUGGGGAUGAAGUCAAGUCCGCACGGCCCUGACCUCCUGGGCGACACACACGCUACAAUGGCCUAGACAAUGGGUAGCCACCUCGCGAGGGGCAGCUAAUCCCCAAACUGGGUCUCAGUUCAGAUUGCAGGCUGCAACUCGCCUGCAUGAAGUCGGAGUUGCUAGUAACCGUGGGUCAGCACACCACGGUGAAUGCGUUCCCGGGUCUUGUACACACCGCCCGU
rnacentral:rRNA from 1 species